GCGAGUCGAGAGUCUUAGGGACUCGGCGUACCGCUCAGUAACACGUGGGUAACCUGCCCUAUGCUGGGGAAUAACCUCGGGAAACUGAGAAUAAUGCCCCAUAGUCCACCAUGCCUGGAACGGUUGGUGGAUUAAAGCUCCGGCGGCAUAGGAUGGGCCUGCGGCGUAUCAGGUUGUAGGGGGUGUAAUGUACCCUCUAGCCAUCAACGCGUACGGGUGUUGGGAGACAUAGCCCGGAGAUGGAUUCUGAGACACGAAUCCAGACCCUACGGGGUGCAGCAGGCGCGAAAACUUGGCAAUGCGAGAAAUCGUGACCAGGGAACUCCAAGUGGCUGGGGUAAGACUCAGUCUUUUCUUGACUCUUCAAAGGUCUUGGAAUAAGGGGUGGGUAAGGACGGUGCCAGCCGCCGCGGUAAUACCGGCGCCUCAAGUGGUAGUCGAUUUUAUUGGGCCUAAAACGUCCGUAGCCUGUUUGGUACAUUCGUGGGUAAAUCAACCAGCUCAACUGAUUGAAUUCUGCGAGCACGGCCAGACUUGGGACCGGGAGAGGUGUGGGGUACGCUCAGGGUAGGGGUAAAAUCCUGUCAUCCUGAGCGGACCACCUGUUGCGAAGGCGCCACACUAGAACGGAUCCGACGGUCAGGGACGAAGCCUAGGGGCACGAACCGGAUUAGAUACCCGGGUAGUCCUAGGUGUAAACGCUGUGGACUUGGUGUUGGGAAGGUUCCGAGCCUUCUCAGUGCCCGAAGCGAAAGUGAUAAGUCCACUGCCUGGGGAGUACGGGUCGCAAGGCUGAAACUUAAAGGAAUUGGCGGGGG
rnacentral:rRNA from 1 species